CAAGUCGGCCAGGCGGUCGCGCCUCCUCCCCCUUGCAUCCCCCCACUGGGGGGAAAGAGGGGGGCAGGGGGUGAGGAAAGUCCGGGCUCCACAGGGCACGGUGCUGGGUAACGCCCAGGCGGGGGCGCAUCCACGGAUGCGUUACCCGACGGAAAAGGGCCACAGAAAAGCAGACAGCCGGGGUGGCCUAGGCUGCCCCGGUGAUGGUGAAAAGGUGGUGUAAGAGACCACCGGCGCUCGUGGUGACACGGGCGGCCAGGCAUCCCCCACCGGGAGCAAGGCCAAGCAGGGGCAAAGUCCGCUUCGGCGGGCGCGGGACGGCCCGUCCCGGCUGAGCCCCGGGUAGGCCGCCAGAGGCGGCGGGUAACCGCCGUCCCAGAUAGAUGAUCGCCCACGACAGAACCCGGCUUAUCGGCUGGCUUGGGCG
rnacentral:RNase_P_RNA from 1 species